GGAGAGGUCGCAUAGUGGCCUAGUGNGGGCGCCUGCUAAGCGCUUAGGGGGAUUAUUCCUCCUCGUGGGUUCGAAUCCCACCCUCUCCGCCA
rnacentral:tRNA from 1 species